rnacentral:rRNA from 1 species
UACGUAGGGUGCGAGCGUUAAUCGGAAUUACUGGGCGUAAAGCGUGCGUAGGCGGUUGCACAAGCUUGAUGUGAAAGCCCCGGGCUUAACCUGGGAAUGGCAUUGAGGACUGUGUGGCUUGAGUGCGGCAGAGGGAGGUGGAAUUCCACGUGUAGCAGUGAAAUGCGUAGAUAUCGUCUGGAACGCCAAUGGUGAAGACAGCUCGCUGGGGGUGCGCUGACGCUGAGACACGAAAGCCAGGGGAGCGAACGGG